rnacentral:lncRNA from 1 species
AACACAAACGAAAUCACUUUCUAACUAAUGUGACUCAACAAAGUAAAAGGAGAUUUUGUUUUGACGAAAUUGAAAACAAAACAAGUAAAGUAAAGAACUAGUGAAAUCUGAACGAAUUUGAUAAAGUGAAUGGAUAAAAGGCUAGCUAUGAGGUUCUUCUCCACACAUGUCACACUUGCAUACAAAACGAUUUCCAAUUGCUUUUCAAUAAACCAUGAAUUCCAAACACCCCAGAUUAACUUUGAAUUGCACUAAUUAACCCUCAGAUUUUCCUAGAGUUAUUGAAUUGGAUGAUUGCAUACGACAACCCAAAGUAUUCCCCACAAGUUCCCCACAUGAAUUUCAUAAUAGAGAUACAAGCAAAGAUCAUUAAGUUCUAUGAAAAUCAUAAGCAUUGAUAAGGCACUUGUUACUAUGAAUUGCAUGAAACUUAUGCCACGAAUUUACUUAACGCGGUUAUGACAAGCAACCUUUACUACUUGUGAAUAUAAGUU